ACGGGGGGUGCAAGCGUUGUUCGGAAUCAUUGGGCGUAAAGCGCGCGCAGGCGGCUUGGUAAGUCAGAUGUGAAAUCCCUGGGCUUAACGCAGGAAGUGCAUUUGAUACUGCCUCGCUAGAGUACGGGAGAGGAAAGUGGAAUUCCUGGUGUAGAAGUGAAAUACGUAGAUAUCCGGAGGAGCACUGGUGGCGAAGGCGACUUACUGGCUCGAUACUGACACUCAGGCGCGAAAGCGUUUUGAGCAAAAAG
rnacentral:rRNA from 1 species